GACGAACCGUGCGAACGUUAUUCGGAAUCACUGGGCUUAAAGCGCGUGUAGGCGGGAGGGCACGUCCGUCGCUGAAAUCCCCCGGCUCAACCGGGGAACGGGCGCGGAUACGACCUUCCUUGAGGGGCGUAGGGGGACCUGGAAUUUCCGGUGGAGCGGUGAAAUGCGUAGAGAUCGGAAAGAACACCAACGGCGAAAGCACUCUGCUGGGCCGACACUAACACUGAGAGACGAAAGCUAGGGGAGCGAAUGGG
rnacentral:rRNA from 1 species